rnacentral:rRNA from 1 species
AGUGAACGCUGGCGGUAGGCCUAACACAUGCAAGUCGAACGGCAGCACAGUAAGAGCUUGCUCUUACGGGUGGCGAGUGGCGGACGGGUGAGGAAUACAUCGGAAUCUACUUUUUCGUGGGGGAUAACGUAGGGAAACUUACGCUAAUACCGCAUACUACCUACGGGUGAAAGCAGGGGAUCUUCGGACCUUGCGCGAUUGAAUGAGCCGAUGUCGGAUUAGCUAGUUGGCGGGGUAAAGGCCCACCAAGGCGACGAUCCGUAGCUGGUCUGAGAGGAUGAUCAGCCACACUGGAACUGAGACACGGUCCAGACUCCUACGGGAGGCAGCAGUGGGGAAUAUUGGACAAUGGGCGCAAGCCUGAUCCAGCCAUACCGCGUGAGUGAAGAAGGCCUUCGGGUUGUAAAGCCCUUUUGUUGGGAAAGAAAAGCAGCAGGUUAAUACCCCGCUGUUCUGACGGUACCCAAAGAAUAAGCACCGGCUAACUUCGUG